rnacentral:rRNA from 1 species
UACGGAGGGUGCGAGCGUUGUCCGGAAUCAUUGGGCGUAAAGGGCGCGUAGGUGGCGCGGUAAGCGUGCGGUGAAAGCCUGGGGCUCAACCCCGGGUCGGCCGCUGCGAACUGCUGGGCUUGAGCACUGUAGAGGCAGGCGGAAUUCCGGGUGUAGCGGUGGAAUGCGUAGAGAUCCGGAAGAACACCGGUGGCGAAGGCGGCCUGCUGGGCCAGUUGCUGGACACUGAGGCGCGACAGCGUGGGGAGCAA